CCAGGCAGGAGCAGCAGAAGACCGAGCGGUCGUUGGUCUCCCCAAGGGGCAGGUGCAGUACCCUGACUUGUGGUGCCGAGGCUCUCGUCUUGCCCCAACCCGCCCCGGAUUCCCGCGGGACCAGACCGACAGUCGGGGAAGAUAGAAAGGGAGAGCAGAUCUUGGGAAGAGCUUUACAUUUGAAUAAGGCUUUACACUUAACCGAUUAUAUUCCCAUAUGUCGUCUUUUGAUAAAAACAAGCAGUAAGACCCUGAACUUCAUGGAUCAGCUGGCACCACCCAGAUCAAUAAACUGGCUCAUCUGACCUUGUGGCCCCUCACCCAGGAACUGAUGAGGGCAAGAAGACAGCUUUGACUCCCUCUGAUUUCAUCUCUGACCAAUCAGCACUCCUGGCUCACUGGUUUACCCCAGCCCAAGUUACCCGUGAAAACUCUGAUCCCUGAAUGCUUCAAUGCUUGAGGAGACUGAUUUGAGUAAUAAUAAAACUCUAGUCUCCUGCA